GGGGCUGUGGCUCAGUGGAAGAGCCUCUGCUUCGUGUGCAAGAGGUCCCAGGUUCAACCCCUGGCACCUCCA